rnacentral:rRNA from 1 species
UACGUAGGGUGCGAGCGUUGUCCGGAUUUAUUGGGCGUAAAGGGCUCGUAGGCGGCCUGUCGCGUCGGGAGUGAAAGCCCACUGCUUAACGGUGGGUCUGCUUUCGGUACGGGCGGGCUAGAGUAUGGCAGGGGAGACUGGAAUUCCUGGUGUAGCGGUGAAAUGCGCAGAUAUCAGGAGGAACACCGGUGGCGAAGGCGGGUCUCUGGGCCAUAACUGACGCUGAGGAGCGAAAGCGUGGGGAGCGAACAGG